GAAGAUAUAGCUCAAGUGGUAGAGCACAUGCCAUGGCAUGCACUAGUUCCUGGGUUCAAUCCCCUGUACCUCCU
rnacentral:tRNA from 1 species